AAGGAUCAUUACUGAACUGUCAACAUGAGUUGUUGUUGGUCCCCACAUGGGGGCAUGUGCACGCUCUGUUUACACAUCCACUCACACCUGUGCACCCCUCCGUAGUUCUGUGGCCUGGGGGCUCUGUCCUCCUCUGCUGCAGUUCUACGUUUUUACACACACAAUGUAAUGAAGUCUCAUGGAAUGUAUGCCGCGUUUAACGCAAUAUAAUACAACUUUCAGCAACGGAUCUCUUGGCUCUC
rnacentral:misc_RNA from 1 species